GCAAAGGCCUUGGGGCUGUGAGGGAACAUGGCAAGAAAACCUUGAAAGGUAAUAAUUACCUAGACAAUUCCACCAUGUGUCAUCUGUAUGCCUUUGAACAACUUAACUGAGUUUCCCCAAGUCUCAGUUUCCUUGCCAACGUGAACAAGCCAACUAGAAGAUAACUUAAGAGAUGGAGAAUGGAAGCUUAAAGAAGAUAAGAAAUUUGUCCCAGUUUUCACAUCUAGUAAAUGUUUUACAGAGGCAGCUCUUGGAUUGCACUGUCAUCUGAGCAAAAGACAUGGGGUUUAGUCUCAUCUGUCACUA